rnacentral:rRNA from 1 species
UACGUAGGGUGCGAGCGUUAAUCGGAAUUACUGGGCGUAAAGCGUGCGCAGGCGGUGAUGUAAGACCGAUGUGAAAUCCCCGGGCUUAACCUGGGAACUGCAUUGGUGACUGCAUUGCUGGAGUAUGGCAGAGGGGGGUGGAAUUCCAGGUGUAGCAGUGAAAUGCGUAGAGAUCUGGAGGAACACCGAUGGCGAAGGCAGCCCCCUGGGCUAACACUGACGCUCAUGCACGAAAGCGUGGGGAGCAAACAGG